GUAGGGCGCGAGCGUUGUCCGGAUUUAUUGGGCGUAAAGAGCUCGUAGGCGGCUUGUCGCGUCGACUGUGAAAACCCGCAGCUCAACUGCGGGCCUGCAGCCGAUACGGGCAGGCUAGAGUUCGGUAGGGGAGACUGGAAUUCCUGGUGUAGCGGUGAAAUGCGCAGAUAUCAGGAGGAACACCGGUGGCGAAGGCGGGUCUCUGGGCCGAUACUGACGCUGAGGAGCGAAAGCGUGGGGAGCGAACAGGAUUAGAUACCCUGGUAGUCCACGCUGUAAACGUUGGGCGCUAGGUGUGGGGGGCCUCUCCGGUUCUCUGUGCCGCAGCUAACGCAUUAAGCGCCCCGCCUGGGGAGUACGGCCGCAAGGCUAAA
rnacentral:rRNA from 1 species